rnacentral:rRNA from 1 species
CUACGGGAUGCAGCAGUGAGGAAUAUUGCACAAUGGGGGGAACCCUGAUGCAGCAACGCCGCGUGGAGGAUGACGCAUUUCGGUGUGUAAACUCCUUUUAUAUGUCAAGAAAAUGACGGUAGCAUAUGAAUAAGCACCGGCUAACUCCGUGCCAGCAGCCGCGGUAAUACGGAGUGGUGCAAGCGUUACUCGGAAUCACUGGGCGUAAAGGACGCGUAGGCGGGUUGGAAAGUCAGGUGUGAAAUCCUACAGCUUAACUGUAGAACUGCACUUGAAACUUCUAAUCUAGAGUAUGGGAGGGGGAGAUGGAAUUAGUGGUGUAGGGGUAAAAUCCGUAGAUAUCACGAGGAAUACCUAAAGCGAAGGCGAUCUCCUGGAACAUUACUGACGCUAAGGCGUGAAAGCGUGGGGAGCAAACAGGAUUAGAUACCCUCGUAGUC